ACCACUGAGGUGUCGUUCCUAGGAUACAUCAUUUCGGUCAACUGUACUCGCAUGGAUCCUGCCAAAGUUAAAGCAGCGGUGGAUUGGCCAAUUACCACCACUCAGAAGAAGCUACAACAGUUCCUAGGGUUGGCUAAUUUUUAUCGUAGGUUUCUCCGCAACUAUAGUUCUGUGGCAGCUUCCCUGACAGCCCUUAUCCCCCCAAAGGGUAACCUUCCAAUGGUCUCCUGCUGCAGAAAAGCUAUUCAGUGAAUUCAAAUCAUGAUUCUCUACUGCUCUCAUUCUUAUCCUUCCAGAUUCGGAAUGCCAGUUUGUGGUGGAUGUGGAUGUGUCAGACUCUGGGGUGGGGGCAGUGCUGUCUCAGCGAUCAGCAGAGGACCAAACGUUACAUCCUUGUGCUUUCCGCAAAUUGUCUCCAGCAGAGAGAAAUUAUGAUGUUGGAAACCUAGAGUUGGUGGCUGUCAAGAUGGCCCUUGAGGACUGGAGGCACUGGCUGGAGGGGGCGAAGCAUCCAUUUGUUGAAGAACCAUCAAACCAGACCUCUCCCGUCAGUUCCAGUCUGAUGGUUGUUCCACAUGAGAAUAUCAUCCCAGCUAAUAUGGUCAUCGGCACAGUUACCUGGGACAUUGUGGACAAGUGCUCUUGGGGAUACCAACCUUCACUGUUCCCUGAGCAGGAGCAAGAGGCAAGUGUUCCAUCUGUCACGGCGCUCAUCAAGCACUGUCAUUGCACCUGGCUGCCACCCCUUUCUACUCCCCUGCAUUCGUCCAACCGGUACCAGAGAGUGCCAACAAGUACCGGACCUUAGCAUCCUGCUACACACGUGGACAGAAGGUUUGGUUGUCCACACAUGACGUUCCCCUUCAGGUGGAGUCUAGAAAGUUGGCCCAAGAUUUGUGGGGCGGUUCUCCAUAAGUAAUGUCAUCAACCCCUCUGCAGUUCGUCUUCACCUUCCUCACUCUAUGAGGAGUCAUCCCAAGGUCAAACCCAUUAAGGAAAGCUAACUUGUGCUAUUACACAGUGUUAGCUAGCAAGCUAACGUUAUUUUGGCUGGCUAAAGUUAACACAGAUGAGCUGAAUGCCCAGCAAGCCUCCCUUGGACAAGACCAGGAGUCACUCAUGCAAGACGUACCAACACGCUGGAAUUCCACUUUUGAGAUGAUCAAGCCCUUGAGACGCAACAGAGACCCACUGCACACAAUGCUGACCCAGCAGAAGCACAAUGUGACCCUCUCAACAAAUGCUGGCAAAAUACAAGAAGCUUGCAAAGCUGGAGAAACUCCUGGAACCAUGCAGGACCAAGUACGGAACCUGGGGCAAAAGAGCCUUCUCCAUAGCUGCCCCCACCCUCUGGAACAUCCUCCCAAAACACAUCCGUGACGGUCCAAACCCAACCACCUUCAAAUCAUUCCUCCAAACCCACCUUUUUUAAAUCCGCCUUUAAUCUAUAAAAUAAUUUUCCACUAACCUUAUGCACUAUUAUUAUUAUUAUUACAUACAGCAAGGCAGUCAAAAAUUAGGCAAACAAAUCAGGAAAAUGUAAGGCAAAAUCCAAACAGGCAAACAUUAGUAAAAAAAUAUGAGAGAGCAAUGCACAUUAUAGAGUAACAAAGACAAUCUGACAAGGACAUGGUGCAUGCUGGACUAUACAGUAUUUACACAGGUUGACUAGAUAAAAACAGGAACAGGAAGUGGGCUUGGUCAGGUAAAUGGCAGGAAGACCAGAAACCAGAAACAGGUGAGUACCAAAAUAAAGCAGGAGCUAAAAAACAGUCCUGACAUCAUGUGUAACAAAGUGGCCAGUGAGUAUAUGUACCACAUACACAAGAUAAUAUACACAGUAAAGUCAAGGUAAUAAAUAGUAAGCAUUAUCAACACCAUGAAAUAAUAGGAAGUAUAGAAAUAUUAACUAUGAACAGGAAAUAGAAUAGACAUGCAUAUGCAUACACACACACAUGCACAUGCAUGCAACCCGUGGCCAAGUGGAAAGAGAACUUGAAUUGUAAUCGGAGGGUCGCCGGACCCCUGAGCAAGGUAUCCAACCCAGUGAACAGUGGGCUGCUCAGUGUGGCAGCCCACUGCUCCUAAUUCUAGGAUUGGUCAAAU